CCAUUCAUUCUCAAUUGUUGCAUGGACUUGUCGAACAGUGUCCGUAGACAACAAGUCAGGAAGCUUGAACUCCGGCCAUGUUGGGUGUUCAGGGAUCAAAGGUUGCAGGUGAUAUAAGGGAUAAGAAAAGAGAGCCACACACAAAAUCCAAGGGUUUGAGGAGAAUGGGUUAUAAGUCGCAUCCUGGAUGAAAAAGGGAGGUAGCAAUGUAGUCCACGACUACCACAAUUCACGUGCCUUCCGUUUGUUUUGCUGUAUAGGCUUAUUACUAGCAGGCUUAGUACUUUUUAUUGAUAAUUGACGACUGACGAGGAAGAGCUCCACAGAAAAAGACAUUAUCUAAUGCGAGUGGCUCCCAGAAAACUAAUAUCAGAUGGCUAAUAAAGGAAGCCCCAGUACGUGCUCAUAUAACAAGUACUCGUUUGUUUGGUUUUUUUGCAUACGACAAGAAGGCAUCAUCUUUGGAGCUUUUGGUGGUACAACUUUUACAUUGCGUUGCAACAAAUUGGCGUGAGGCUGUUCGCGGUUCCAAACAAAUCCCCGCAAUUUGCAAAUUUGCACCACACAAAAGAUCUUCAGCCGUGCUGGUUAAUUUCUCUAGGUUCUUGGAAAUAAGUUCUCUAGGUUCUUGGAAAUAAGCCCGUUUUAACAUGACAUGUUAUAAAUAAAAAAACUAAUAUAGAACUUAUUUGGGGAAAAAAACUCAAAACUAAAAAAUGACAAUGACAACAAGUGGCUAGUUCUGGGUUUCUCUUCAAAUAGACUCUAAGGAUUUUUGUAUAAUAUGUUAUGUUAGAUGAACUUAUUAAUAAAAAACCAUGACCCUCCAUUUGGAUGAGGGAAAAUAAUUCAGAAUUUA